ensembl:lncRNA
GCACUCCUUCCCCGCCCUUGACCCAUCACCUGCCCUGAUUCACCCCAAAUUGCCAUAAUUCCAGUUUUCGCGGAGGCAGCAGCUGCUUCCACGAGUGAUUCACGCCAGGAGUGGGAGGAAUAUUGCAAAGGAGGAAGCAUCUAUUUACAAACAAAUAUCGGGGCUCUCCGCACGCAGGAGGGGAGGAAGGUGAGCGUGAAGGGGGCAGCACGGUGGGGCUGGGCUGAAAAAGUGGGAUUUGGGGAACUCGGUGACUGCUGCGCUGAACCGUUCUGGCUGUGACUUGGUGUCGGGUAUUUGGGAUCAGCAGCGUUUGGGAACAAGGCUUUCCCAGCCCCUCAUUUGUGCGGUGGAGCUGCUUUCAAGUGCUAAGAGCAGAUGGUAUCGCCUGGGAACGCCUGGAAGUUUCGGCUCGGCUCAAACCACAGGGCUGGGAGCAGCUCCCGGGCUGCCGCGUGGCUGCGGGGUGCUCCCGCGGCACCGGCCCCGUGCGGGGGGUCCCCAAGGUGUGCCCAAAAGGGUGUGCCCAAAGUGUCCCCGAGGUGUGCCCAAAGGGUCCCCGAGGUGUGCCCAAAGGGUGUUCCCAAGGUGUUCUCUAAGGGUGUCCCCAAAGGGUUCCCAAGGUGUUCCAAGAGGGUGUCCUCAAAAGGUGUUCCCAAAGGGUCCCCAAAGUGUGUUCCCAAAGGGGCCCCAAGGGGUGUUCUCAAGGUGUUCUCUAAGGGUGCCCCCAGAGGGUCCCCAAGGUGUUCUCUAAGGGUGUCCCCAGAGGGUCCCCAAGGUGUUCCAAGAGGGUGUCCUCAAAAGGUGUCCCCAAAGGGUCCCCAAAGUGUGUUCCCAAAGGGGCCCCAAGGGGUGUUCCCAAGGUGUUCUCAAAGUGUGUACCCAAAGGGUCUCCAAAGAGCGUCCCCAAGGAGUGUUCCCAAAGGCUGUCCCCAAAGCGUCUCCAAAGGCUGUUCCCAAAGGGUGUCCCCAAAGGGUGUUUCCAAAGGGUCCCCAAGGGGUGUUCCCAAAGGUUGUCCCCCAGGAGUCCCCACAGUGUGUUCCCAAAGGGUUCCCAAGGUGUCCCCAAAGGGUGUUCCCAUAGGGUCCCCAAAGGAUCCCCAGGGGGUGUUCCCAAGGUAUUAUCAGAGGGUGCCCAAAGAACCUCCCCAAGGUGUUCCCAAAGGCUGGCUAAUCCCAAAGUGUCCCCAAAGGGUUCCCAAGGGGUGUUCCCAAAGCGUCCCCAAAGAGUGUCCCCAAGUGUCCCCAAAGGCUGUCCUCAUAGCAUCUCGAAAGGGUGUCCCCAAAGGUUGCUGCCAAAGGGUGUCCCCUAAGAGUCCCCAAGGGGUGUUCCCAAAUGGUCCCCCAUUUGUGUCCCCCCCACACCACCAAGCCAGCCCCAUCUGAAGGUCACAUCACAGCACCUCGGGGACAGUCCUCCGAGGGGCCACGUUUGCCACCGGCGGGACUUCGGUGACAGAGUUGGGGGGGGACGGAGGGGAGGCAG